GCCCUUUUCAUUUGGCGGCAGGUGCCUAUAUUGGUCUCUGCCGGGUUCGCCCGGCUAUGGUGAUAAAUUGUUGCGUGCAAUAGAUGCAGCGGACCCGGGGGCGGUACCCGGCGGCUCCACCAAAACGUCCUUCAUUGGGGGCGAAUGGGGCCGAAACAGGAUCGACGAACGUCUAAAGGGGUUUGCUUUGUCCCGGUGAGCUACCACCGAUAUCGGUGCAAAACGUACAGUUGCCAAUGACAACCGUGCUCCGGUGGCCGUCGCUGCGUAAGCAGUUGACCUAAACCGAUCUUAAGUCCCUGCGGUUAGCCCCGUAGGGCGGGGUUCGGAGGUACCUGGCAACAGAAACCUCCACU
rnacentral:tmRNA from 1 species